rnacentral:lncRNA from 12 species
AUGGGUUUAUCAGCGGGGUUAUCAAUGGGGUUAUCAGCAGGUUUAUCAAUGGGUUUAUCAGUGGGUUAUCAAUGGGUUUAUCAGCGGGGUUAUCAAUGGGGUUAUCAGCAGGUUUAUCAAUGGGUUUAUCAGUGGGUUUAUCAGCGGGGUUAUCAAUGGGGUUAUCAGCAGGUUUAUCAAUGGGUUUAUCAGUGGGUUAUCAAUGGGUUUAUCAGCGGGGUUAUCAAUGGGGUUAUCAGCAGGUUUAUCAAUGGGUUUAUCAGUGGGUUAUCAAUGGGUUUAUCAGCGGGGUUAUCAAUGGGGUUAUCAGCAGGUUUAUCAAUGGGUUUAUCAGUGGGUUAUCAAUGGGUUUAUCAGCGGGGUUAUCAAUGGGGUUAUCAGCAGGUUUAUCAAUGGGUUUAUCAGUGGGUUAUCAAUGGGUUUAUCAGCGGGGUUAUCAAUGGGGUUAUCAGCAGGUUUAUCAAUGGGUUUAUCAGUGGGUUAUCAAUGGGUUUAUCAGCGGGGUUAUCAAUGGGGUUAUCAGCAGGUUUAUCAAUGGGUUUAUCAGUGGGUUAUCAAUGGGUUUAUCAGCGGGGUUAUCAAUGGGGUUAUCAGCAGGUUUAUCAAUGGGUUUAUCAGUGGGUUAUCAAUGGGUUUAUCAGCGGGGUUAUCAAUGGGGUUAUCAGCAGGUUUAUCAAUGGGUUUAUCAGUGGGUUAUCAAUGGGUUUAUCAGCGGGGUUAUCAAUGGGGUUAUCAGCAGGUUUAUCAAUGGGUUUAUCAGUGGGUUAUCAAUGGGUUUAUCAGCGGGGUUAUCAAUGGGGUUAUCAGCAGGUUUAUCAAUGGGUUUAUCAGUGGGUUAUCAAUGGGUUUAUCAGCGGGGUUAUCAAUGGGGUUAUCAGCAGGUUUAUCAAUGGGUUUAUCAGUGGGUUAUCAAUGGGUUUAUCAGCGGGGUUAUCAAUGGGGUUAUCAGCAGGUUUAUCAAUGGGUUUAUCAGUGGGUUAUCAAUGGGUUUAUCAGCGGGGUUAUCAAUGGGGUUAUCAGCAGGUUUAUCAAUGGGUUUAUCAGUGGGUUAUCAAUGGGUUUAUCAGCGGGGUUAUCAAUGGGGUUAUCAGCAGGUUUAUCAAUGGGUUUAUCAGUGGGUUAUCAAUGGGUUUAUCAGCGGGGUUAUCAAUGGGGUUAUCAGCAGGUUUAUCAAUGGGUUUAUCAGUGGGUUAUCAAUGGGUUUAUCAGCGGGGUUAUCAAUGGGGUUAUCAGCAGGUUUAUCAAUGGGUUUAUCAGUGGGUUAUCAAUGGGUUUAUCAGCGGGGUUAUCAAUGGGGUUAUCAGCAGGUUUAUCAAUGGGUUUAUCAGUGGGUUAUCAAUGGGUUUAUCAGCGGGGUUAUCAAUGGGGUUAUCAGCAGGUUUAUCAAUGGGUUUAUCAGUGGGUUAUCAAUGGGUUUAUCAGCGGGUUUAUCAAUGGGUUUAUCAGUGGGAUUAUCAGCGGGUUUAUCAAUGGGUUUAUCAAUGGGUUUAUCAGUGGGUUAUCAAUGGGUUUAUCAGCGGGUUUAUCAAUGAGCUGUUUAUUGGAGGGUUUGUGAAUGGGAUGUUUGGUGGAUUUUAUGAAUGGGUUGAUGGAUGUGUUUAUCAGUGACUCAUUGAUAACCGAACCUCCACAAGCUUGGGAGGAGCGUUUCAGGGAUCCUCAAUUGGGCGUUUUUCUUCUUUUGGGUUGUUAUUUGAUGAAGAAAGAGCUCAGAUUCGACUCUAUUUUAUUCUAACAUUUCACUUUAAUCUGAAUCCGUGUCCUCUGUGUGUGUGACCACCCCUGACUGUUCCCGAGCUUGGCUCUCGGGCUCUCUGUGCUGCACUGAUCUUGUGGAGUUUUUAUACUAAAAACCAAAAAUAAAGAUUAUUUUGAAAAUUUAAACGAGCUAACAGAUUUCUGUUGGGCUUCUGAGAACCCCUUUGGCUGCUGCCAGCCGGAGGUUUCCUCACUUCUUUCCUUUUUCCUGCUGGGCUGGGAACUUCCUCUUUUGGGGGUUAUUAUUUUUUGGGCAGUAUUUAGGUUUUUUCCUGCACUCAGGCACCCACAUAUUCCUUCUACGGAUGGCUUAAUAAAUUAAGUGGGAAAACAAAUACCCAAACCAAACAAAAUCAGGCUGUAGGUCCUCAGCUUUAGGCAGAACCCCAGCUCCAGGGAAUUCAGGUAGAUCACAAGCUCCAGGAGAUUCAGGCAGAUCCCAGCUCCAGGAUAUUUAGGCAGAACCUCAACCCCAGGGAAUUUAGGCAGGUUUCCAGUUUAGGUGGAUCCCCAAAUCCAGGGAAUUUAGGCAGAACCCCAAUGCCAGGAAAUUCAGGUAGAGCCCCAGCUGCAGGGAAUUGAAGCAGAUUCCCAACUUAGGAAGAUCCCCCACCUCCAAGAAAUUUUGGCAGAUCCUCAACUCCGGGAUAUUUCGGUGCACCCCCAACUCCAGGAAAUUGGGGCCGAUCCCCGAUGUCAGGGACUUCAGGAAGCAUCCUAACUCCUGAAAAUCGAUGUAGACCCCCCAAGUCCAGGGAAUUUCGGGACCGGUGUGGAUCCCGGGGGUGUCCUUAGAUAAAAUAUUCCUCCUUGUCCUUGGGCGGAGCCUCCUCCCGCGGGGCCGUGUCGGGCUCGGGCUGCUCGUAGGUGCGAUAAGAGCCCUGGUUCCUGUACAGGUAAAUCGCGAUCACCACCAGCACCGUCAGCAGCGUGAGGAACACCAGCGUGAUCACCACUGCGGGGGAAGCGCAGCGAACAACGGCUGUGAGAUGGUUUACUGCCGAUUUCCUCCUCAUUUUGAGGUUGUUUUUGCAACAGUAUUUAACCAAAUGUUAAUGGUAAUUAAAAAAAAAAAAAAAAAAAAAAAAAAAGGAUUACCAACACUAAGGAUUUGUAAAAAAAAAAAAAAAAAAAAAAAAAAAAAAAAAGCCUGAAUUCGGUGGCACAUCAAAGCCGUGUGUCCAGCAGCAAAAGUCACCAAUACCUGCCAAAAUCUAAAGCUGAAAGUCGCUGCACAGGUAUUUAGGGCGGGUGUUCGGUGAAAGCCGAGUACCUGCGGCCGUUCUCUGGCCAACGGAGGGCAUUUCACUGACUAAAAGCAUUCGAACUCACCCCAAAAUUACUGACUUACUUCUACUUAAAUGUCUACUUCAUGUGGGAGAGGCUUAAUACACUUCAACCCAUCCACAGGCUUUAAUUCAAUCCCUGCACUCUGAUUUCUCUCUGAAGAAUUCAGAGACCCCUGACUCGCUGACUCUAACAUCUCCCGCUCCUCUUAGAACUAGAAAGAUUUUUUAAAUAGGCUUAUUAAUUAUCUGUUAAAUGCAUGGAGUAAGCAAGGCACUAUGAAACACUAAAAAACCU